rnacentral:tRNA from 1 species
GCUGGAGUCGCCUAACCCGGUAUGGCACUGGUUUGCUAAACCAGCGCUCGAAAGAGCUUCGGGGUUCAAAUCCCCGCUCCAGCG